ACCGGAGCUAUCGAUCCAAAUAUCUCGAGCUACAGACCAUAUUUUUCUGUGAUUCUUGAACCAGUGAGUUAUUCUUGAGUUUCUUAACAACUCUUCAGAAGGAAUCGAAGCCUUAAAUUGAAGUUUUGACGUCGAAAUCGAGCCUUGCCGGAUUCUGCAAAAUUCUGGAAUUUUUCCGACCACCGAAGCUUUCGAUCGGUAUAUCUCGAGCUACAGAAUAUAUUUUUCUGUGAUUCUUGAACCAGUGUGUUCUUCUUGAGUUUCUUAACAACUCUUCAGAAGGAAUCGAAGCCUUAAAUUGACGUUUUUACGUCGAAUUGGAGCUCGCCGUUUUCUGCAGUUUCUCGCCGGAUUCUGGAAAUUUUCCGGUCACCUCGACUGUUCUAGGUGAUUGACGGUUUAAGUUGGUGGACGAUUGUGGAUCGAAUUUUGAGCUGUUAAGAAGACGCAGCUGGAUUAGAGCGGGUAAUCCUACAGGACAGGAGAACCAGGACGGUGAUCGUGCGGUUAGAGCAAUUGUUAGAGUUUUACAGCAAUUGUAAGUUGUGAGGUGUGUUA